GUGAUGGGAGGACGGGCUGCCCUCUGCCUGGGUGUCCCUUUAAAUGACAUCGAUACUGAAACUGUGGCUCUGGAGAAAUCCAAGUGGGCAGUGAGGGGCAGGAGGAGGAAGUGGUCCGUUCCUGUUCCAACCUGGAGGUUCCAGGUGCCUGCUGUCACAAACACAGGGACAGAGGAACAGACGCGGGAUGUGACUUCACUGCUCUGCAGCUUUCCCUGCAGAAGUGGUCUCUUUACAGCUCUUGACACUUGGAUUUGUCAGCUGUGGUAGGGGCUGGAGCCAAAAAAAAAGGCAGGAGGGCCAACCUUGCUGAAAGAGGAACUGAGUCAGCCAGGUUGCACUUCCCUCCUGUUCCCUUGUUUGUGCAUGGCUCCCAGCGGCCACUGGAGGUCACUGUCACCACUGAAACUGCCCAGUGCUGUGCUGAUUGGGCCAGAAGCACAGGAACAGGUCCCUGGAGUUUUCCUCCUAAGACCAGGGCUUCGGCUUCAUGGGGCCCCGUCUGCUGGCCGAGGAUGCACACAGAUGGAGGACACAGCCCCGUCGUGAAGGGCCAGCGGAGGCACAGCAUCCUGCCUGGAGGGUCCCCAGCCUCUGCGGGUGGGACAGACGCGGCCUGGCCUCCAAGUCACCAGCGCGGAGCCCUGGCCGUCGCCUGACUCUGCUUCCUGCGCUGCUGGGCUCCAAGGCGGGAGACCCAAGUGCGGCAGAGUGGCCUGGAGGAGGUUUUGGGGUGACCUCUGCUGUCUGGACUGUUCCGUGUCACCGCUGGUGGGGAACACAGAAUUAUAUAUGAAUGUAGAGUGGACCCUCAAGUAACAACCAGCCUGACGUACAUAUUGACCUACAACCAACCUGAGUUACAACCAGCCCUUGGGAACUGAUUGAGUUUGUAAAUCGGGAUAAGGUCAGUCUUUUUUGUUGGUACUGGGGAUCGAACUCGGGACCUUGCGCUUUCGAGGCAGGUGCUGGAACCACUGAGCUAAAUCCCUGGCUCUCUAUUUAUUUUCCUACUUGAUGAUAGGGCUCGAAAGAAGUGAGGUAAAACAUCUUAUUAUCAGUGUGUUUCUGUCAUUUUCUCCCAGCUUGUGAGAAAUACUGUUUCACUGUGAUCAUAAAGUUUAUCGCGUUAGGUGACUCUUUUGUAUAACUUUGUGAGUUUUCCUUGAAUUCUGCUUUCUCUGAUAUGAAUGUUAUACACUUCUACUUUUUAAAAACUUAGGUAUCAUCAUUUUACCUAUAAUUGUGCUUAUAAUUUGACUUUCAGG
rnacentral:lncRNA from 1 species